rnacentral:rRNA from 1 species
GAGUUCUCGUUGAUGAUCGGUGCUUGCACCGAGAUUCAACAUGGAACGAGUGGCGGACGGGUGAGUAACACGUGGGUAACCUGCCCUUAAGUGGGGGAUAACAUUUGGAAACAGAUGCUAAUACCGCAUAGAUCCAAGAACCGCAUGGUUCUUGGCUGAAAGAUGGCGUAAGCUAUCGCUUUUGGAUGGACCCGCGGCGUAUUAGCUAGUUGGUGAGGUAAUGGCUCACCAAGGCGAUGAUACGUAGCCGAACUGAGAGGUUGAUCGGCCACAUUGGGACUGAGACACGGCCCAAACUCCUACGGGAGGCAGCAGUAGGGAAUCUUCCACAAUGGGCGCAAGCCUGAUGGAGCAACGCCGCGUGAGUGAAGAAGGCUUUCGGGUCGUAAAACUCUGUUGUUGGAGAAGAAUGGUCGGCAGAGUAACUGUUGUCGGCGUGACGGUAUCCAACCAGAAAGCCACGGCUAACUACGUGCCAGCAGCCGCGGUAAUACGUAGGUGGCAAGCGUUAUCCGGAUUUAUUGGGCGUAAAGCGAGCGCAGGCGGUUUUUUAAGUCUGAUGUGAAAGCCCUCGGUUUAACCGAGGAAGCGCAUCGGAAACUGGGAAACUUGAGUGCAGAAGAGGACAGUGGAACUCCAUGUGUAGCGGUGAAAUGCGUAGAUAUAUGGAAGAACACCAGUGGCGAAGGCGGCUGUCUGGUCUGUAACUGACGCUGAGGCUCGAAAGCAUGGGUAGCGAACAGGAUUAGAUACCCUGGUAGUCCAUGCCGUAAACGAUGAAUGCU